UGAAGAUAUAGUCUGUGCUCCUAGUGAUAGGG
rnacentral:autocatalytically_spliced_intron from 4 species